AAGAUAUUAGUAACAAUCAUUACAUAACUUUGCCAUAG
rnacentral:tRNA from 1 species